rnacentral:rRNA from 1 species
UACGUAGGGUGCGAGCGUUAAUCGGAAUUACUGGGCGUAAAGCGUGCGCAGGCGGUUCGUGAUGUCUGAUGUGAAAGCCCCCGGGCUCAACCUGGGAAUGGCAUUGGAAACUAGCGGGUCGGAGUGUGGCAGAGGGGGGGUGGAAUUCCACGUGUAGCAGUGAAAUGCGUAGAGAUGUGGAGGAACACCGAUGGCGAAGGCAGCCCCCUGGGCUAACACUGACGCUCAUGCACGAAAGCGUGGGGAGCAAACAGG